UGAGGAAUAUUGGUCAAUGGAGGCAAGUCUGAACCAGCCACGUCGCGUGAAGGAAGACGGCCCUACGGGUUGGAAACUUCGUUUGUAAGGGGAUAAAGUGGGGUAAGAGAAAUAUAUUGAAUGUACCUAACGAAUAAGGCUCGACAAAAAAAAGUGUAAGCCCCC
rnacentral:rRNA from 1 species